rnacentral:rRNA from 1 species
AUUCUGGCUCAGGAUGAACGCUGGCGGCGUGCUUAACACAUGCAAGUCGAACGGAGCCUAUCGAGUGCUUGCACUUGAGAAAGCUUAGUGGCGGACGGGUGAGUAACGCGUGGGUAACCUGCCCUAUACUGGGGGAUAACAGUUGGAAACGACUGCUAAUACCGCAUAAGCCUACAGUGCCGCAUGACACAGUAGGAAAAACUCCGGUGGUAUAGGAUGGACCCGCGUCUGAUUAGCUAGUUGGUGAGGUAACGGCCCACCAAGGCGACGAUCAGUAGCCGGCCUGAGAGGGUGAACGGCCACAUUGGGACUGAGACACGGCCCAAACUCCUACGGGAGGCAGCAGUGGGGAAUAUUGCACAAUGGGGGAAACCCUGAUGCAGCGAACCGCCGCGUGAGUGAAGAAGUAUUUCGGUAUGUAAAGCUCUAUCAGCAGGGAAGAUAAUGACGGUACCUGACUAAGAAGCACCGGCUAAAUACGUGCCAGCAGCGGC